UUGUAACGAAAAACCACCUGAACUGAGCAGAGCCGUGCUGCUUGGUGCUGGUAGAAAAGCCAUGGCACUGAUGCCUCGUAAAGGCCACGGGAAAACAUCUAUUGUUAUCAACUUGUAAUUUAUUGUAACCACUGCUAGACUAUGCCAAGAGUAUCUUGCCUGUGACAUUAUUCUUUCUUUCAGGAGUUCUUUUCCACAGUCAAACUGUUUAUAUGUUUUGUGCCUUUAGGUACUGAAUGGAUCGGCGUAUCCAAACGGUCCUGGGGAGCCUGCAUCAUUCAGCUAUGUGCUGCCGUUGGACAGGCCAUCCUCGGUGGCAUGAUCUACUUCAUCAGAGACUGGAGACUGGCUCAACUGGUUACAGCUGCUCCGCUUGCUGUGAUCACUUUUUACAUAUGGUUUAUUCCAGAGUCAGCCAGAUGGUUGUUGGACAGGGGACGGACAGACGAGGCUAAAGAGCUGAUCAUCAAAGUGGCGGCCAUUAACAAACGCAAAGUUUCAGACUCUCUCCUGGAAAAGAUUACUAUCAAAGAAAAUGUGCAAAAGGGAGGCAUAAUAUGUCUUAUUAAAUCUCCUGUGCUGAGGAAGUAUUUCCUUACCAUUAUUUUGGCAUGGUAAGUUAUACUGUGUAACAUUUCCUGUGGAGUUGUGAUAUCU